rnacentral:lncRNA from 1 species
UAGAAAUCAUAAUCCUCUACGUCUCUCUAAUAUCCAACCUUAACCUUAUUCGCCGCCACCCAAAACCAGCCCUAAUUAUUUUAAUUCCUAUCUGAUCUAUGGAUUCCCAAGGUUGUAUGAGGCCUCUACUUGUCUCCUAUUUCCCCUGGUUGCUCGAUUUUGUGAUUUCGUGGAAGGACCUCGAAGAGAUCUGAUCCAGACCUCAUUUAAAACUCUUCAAGACUCUGUCUAUGAUCUGUGAGUGCUUUCUAUCAAUGUUUUACGACUCAAAUGUUUUAUUCAGAGACCAUAUUCUCUUUACCCUUUCUCUUUUCUCCAAAAUCCUAGUGUUUAAACUUGAAUCCAUCCAGAUCCUUGUGGAUCUGGAGCGAUUUUGAGUUUGUCAUUGGUUACUCCUCAAGGUUCCCUUAUUUCUUUAAUAAUUAAUCGAUUUUUGAGCAUUUUGUUAUAUUAGGGUUUGUUUUUCUUGUUAUUUGUUGGUCGAACCUCUGUGUAUCUGAAGUGUUUUCAAAUUGCCAUGGUUGUUCUUCAAGGUUCUUUUACUUCUCUACUACAAACUGAUUUUUAGCACCACACUACUUUAGAUUUUUGAAUUCUCUGACUUCUAUUAUUCAAAUCCAUGUAUGUUUGCAAUGCUUUCAAGUUUCCAUGGUUGUUUUCUUUAAG